AAAAGAGUUGUGAGUUAGGCAGAUAUUCUAAAAAGUUUCUGAAGCCUUUUAUGUUACCUAAUUGCUCUCUAGAAAGACUGUCCAUUUUUAGGGUCAUUUUAUUAAAGGAGAAGUUAUUUAAUAUGUUGGGUAGAAUUCCUACCUUGAAUCUAAUGAAAAGUUUUAACCCUCAAUUCAUUUGGCAACUAAUUAUUGGGCACUUUCUAUGUGCCAGGUACCUUUCUAGAUGCUGAGAAUAUAUCAGUCCUACAAGACUAAGUUCCUGCCCUUUUUAGUCAUCUGUUAGAAGUUGAAUUUCCUUUAAACUGCCUUCAAAAUAUCCUUUCAAAGUCUUAAUCAGAUUUCAUUUUACCAACAAUAUGACACAGUUAAGCCUAGUGUAAAAAGGAAACACCUAUAAUGUUUCCUCUGUUGGAUGUUUCCAUUCAUUUUUUCCAAGUAAGUGAUUGGAAGUUUUGAGGUUAUGAUACUUGACAUCUAAGAAUAUUAACAGUUUAACCUUUCUCCUCCUCUCACCUCUAUGGUGGGGCAGCAGUAGAGUGUAAGGAGGUGUUCAGGCUAUGACUUUCUAGUUUCUGUUUUCUGCAGGUUUAAGUGAGAUCCUUCACAUUUAACAAGGCUUUUUCUUAGAGGUGAUUAUGUUAGGGGACUGGAGUUCUCCAGGUUGGAAACUUAACUGACAGAAAAACCUUUGCAAAGUAGGAAAACAGGUAUGUUUUGAAUGUCCACCAAAAACAGAUUGGACUUUUUUCUUGAUUUGUGCCUGUCAGUCAGGUUAGUAGUUAAGUCACCCAGUGACAAACUUGAAAAUAUUCUGUGUGAGACUGGAGUUUUAGAGGAAAAUUCCCUUAAACACCAUAUUUUUACACUUUGCUCCUCUGAGUCGGCUCUCAUCUAGAAAAUUUAUGAUGCAUUUAAGCCAAGGUUAGUGUGGAGUGCCUUCUCACGAGACCUGAUCUCAGUUUGGUAGGUCCUCCUUCAAGUGAGCUAGGAUAAGUUCUAGAACAGCCUAGUGCCUUUUGCACUUGUGAGACCUCUUGCUACUGGAGUUAGGGUUUUAGGUGAUUUUACUUAUUUCAGCUUGAGUCAUAUUAUAGAUAACAUUUUGAAAGAGAUACCAGUUCUCUCUCUCUUUUCCUCUGUUUGAAAAGCAAAACAUGGAGAAUGGAAAGUACAAUUUUUCCUUUUUAAGUCAAGAAAUUUCAUUCUGUUUUGCAGUUUCUAAACUAGCCUGGGUUCAUUGGGAAAAUUAAGCCCUAAUGCUCUUGGCAUCUGUUAUAUGUACUGAAUUAACAUUCCUGUGCAUCUAGAUUGAUAAUUGAGAAAAUAGUCACUGAAAUAUUUGUGUUUUUUGGUUUAAAUGAGGAAUUCUGGUUGAAGAAGGCUGAUGGGAAACCCUCUUCCAUAAAACUUACAGACCUGCAAAGAUAGCUGAGUUGAGUGUACAUUGAUAUGGUAACUGUUUAUAUAGUUCAAAGAUGAAAAAUAAAAAGGUCUUAAGCAUUAAUAGCCCACUGGACAUGACCCAGUAAAAAGAACUGUUCUGCUCUUUGUUUCCUUAGGCACAAAAUGAACUUGGGAAAAGGUUCUCAGUUGUAGUUUUUAUAUAAACCAAAAGAGACUAAUGCUAAUAAUAUUUUUUUGUGUGCUAACAUUUUAACUUUUUCAGCACUUACUAUAACCAUCUUUUUUUUUUAUUUUUUUUUUACUAUAUUUAAGGCAAAUAAAAUCAGUUACCUUUAAGCUGUGGUACUUGAUUAGUUUUUAAAAUAGAUAAGCAAAAAGCACCUCAGCCCACAAUUAGUGCUUGUAAAUGUAAUUGUUUUAUGGAACUGAGUCCCGGGAAGAAGGACAGCAUAAGGAUUGUUGACUAAAAGUGUCGGGGUUUUCACAAAGCACAAGGAUUCUAUAGCUAAUCUUAAAGUUUCCCUCUCUAAGGGUCUUUUAAGCAGCAGCAAAUGUGAAAUAAAUUUAUGUUGUAUUUCUGCAACUAAAUCCUGAUUCAUUGAUUGGGGAGAGCCAUUAUUGGUCAAUUAAACGUGCAGGUGAAACAGUGUUUGAUGGGCAACAAAAAUGACAUUGUCUAUGUCAAACAAGUUUAGAUUCCUUGAUAUUAACAGAAACUGUUAAUUUCUCCUGUCUACAUUCUCCCUUUUAGAAAGACAUUUACAAGGACCUGUUUUUUUAAAAGUUUUAGUUUCUUGUUUUAAAAUCUUGACUGUGAUAUUAGCUCAUACUAAUUUGAGAACUAUCAGGGCUUACAGGUUCUUAAAGUAAAAGUUUUCCUUUUGUCAUCACCUCCAUAUUUAACCUGGACAUAAUUUGAGUUAUCUUUGUCAUAAAAACUGACCCACACAGCCCAACCCAGUGAAAAUGCAGCCUGUUUUGCUCUCUGAAUCUCCUGCCCGGUGUCCCAUGGAAUAAGGUUGGACUUACUGACUCUCUUGAGAAAGAUUUGAAUGAAAACAAAAUUGCUAAGUUGCUACCUAACUUAAAAAAAUAAUUUAAAUAGUUCUGUUUUCUCCUUAUAAGAUGAAAUUGAAAAUUGGAGGCAUUAAAUUACAUAAAGGGUAUCUUGUUACUUCAAGAUAGGAAAUAGAGAAGCAAUAACUUUAAAAAAAAAAAACAGUUUACAUGGAAAACUUGUCAUUGGGAAAGGUAUUGCAUGAGUUGUAAUGAAGCAAAAAUAUUUUAAAUUUCAAGACUGUCAAUAAAAGGUGCAUUAAGGAGCCUCCUGGUGGCAGCAGUUCUUUGCCACCAGUGUCCUCAUUUGAGACACCUGCCAAAUGGGAACUGAUUCUGAAUUAACAAAACAAAACUAUUAAAAUUGCCAUAUCCUUUUAAUUAGAAGUAAAAUAGUCUGUUGAGCAUUUAAAAAUUCUGAUUUCAGGCUUAGAUCGUAUUAUAUUUUCAAUGAAUGCCCUGCUAUGUAACUUAUAAAUGCCUUAAAGGUAAAUUAGGGAGUCUGGAUGUAAAUUGUUGGGGUGUUUGCAUUAAGAGAUUUCAUGACUCCUGCUGCCUCUGUGCAGGACAGUCUUUUGAUGAUGUAAUGUAUAGACUUGGUAAUUUUGUUGGAUUUCAGUUCAGAUGACCUGCUAGUGAAGGGAUGAAUUGACUGCCCUAGGGAAUUGGAAAGGUCAAUGGAAAGAAACCUGUGGCUAGCAUUUGUAUAACAGUAAAAGCUCUAUGGAGAGCAAAGUCUCAACUGACUCACUGGUUUAAUUGUCACUCCUCACUCUGAAUGUCUGUUCUAGUGAGUUGCUGUGCAGUCCACACUUUUCCCAUCAAUUGUAGAACAGUUAUCAAGAGUGAGCUCUGUUUGUUUCCCAACCUGUUUCUGCCAUUUGUUCUUGUUAUUGUAAUUUAACUAUUAUUAAACCAAAGAAGUUUUUAAAAACCAAGUUGUUUUCACGAAAUCUAUACUUUAAUGCUUUGGAAAUGAUAAAAAAUUACUAAGAAUUUACUGCUCAGUUGUAUUUGGGUAAGACAACUGUAACAGAAUGGGUUAAAUUAUUAAUGUCCAGAAGGAUUCACUUUCAGAUUGUUUCAAUUAUCUUAAGUUUUCACCAUAAUUUAAAAGUCAAAAAUGGAAAUGGUAGAAGAUGCACUAUAGUUAGGGUUUAUGAAAGAAAGAUAUUUUGGCACUCUAACCUGUAAAUCCAUAUAAACAGAAAGCCUGGUCCUAUAUUACAAGAUUAGCAAAUGAAGGUUCAUUUAAACUAGAAUAAAAUGCUUAGGUAUGUUUAUCAAAUUUUCAUGAUUUCCUGCUUUUAUAUGACUCCCCCCACCCCCCACCACUUUCUCCUUAUCUGAUCAACUGCUGGUCCAAAUGACUACUGGUUAAGAGAGCUUCUACUGUAUUGCUUCAGGGUUCUAGAGCUGAAAGGUAAUCUUUCAGCAUUUAAUUCAUUCAUUCACAAAUAUUUAUGAAGUGUCUGUUAUUUGGAGGCAUUCUAUUUAGCCUCAGUGAUGAACAAGGCUGAUAAAGUUUCUCUUCUUAAGGAACUUACCUUCUAGUGGCAUAUUAGUGAAGGUAUAAUGAUUUGAAUAGGAAUGAUUUUUUUCAACAGUUGUAGAGUAAUGAGAUCUAGUCUUUGAUUUGAAGGCUAUUCCCACAUCUACUAGCAAACUGCUGGUUCUCAACCCUAGCUUGUACCCUAAUAAAAUGAAAAGCUUUUGAAAAAUCCUGCGUACAGGGCUGCACCUUAGACCAAUUGAAUUAGAAUCUUUGAGAAUGGGGCCCAGGCAUACAAAGAUGUGUAGGAGUAGGUAAGUAGAUUUUAGUUAAAGUUGUUUGAUAUUG